GGACACACCUAGUGCAAAUGCAGUGCUACACAAUCUAGACUCUAGAAGCACAAUCAAAGACAAGGGAAAGGGAAUUGUUGACUUCACAUCCUUGUUGACUGCACCCAUAAUACCUACAGAAGCAAAAGAAGAGAUGCCUCAGGCAUAAUCUGGGACUCCUAAUCAUCCUAGGAGAAGGCAUGGACUUGAGAGCCAAGGAUUGCUUCGAAGAGGAUCGAUUUUGAUGAUUCAUCAGGAGUUUAGGAUGUGAUAGAGACAUUUUAG